rnacentral:piRNA from 1 species
UACCUAGAGUGUUGACAGGGAUGAG